CGAUCUCCAAUUUGAAAACCAUUGGUACAAAUCAUAUUUUAUCAAUAACAAAUUGACGAACGAUGAUAAAGAAAUGAAAGAAAAGCAAAAACAAGAUGUAAUCAAAAUUUUGUCAUUUUUUUCAAUUCAACUUUCAUUUCAUCGCCAUUUUUUGAUGGAUGAUUCCGGGCCCACUUUGUAUCAUCUUCUCUAGCUAUAUCUUGAGUUACAUCAUCCAUGACGUUAAGUGUCACUGAAUCACUUUCCGUCCACUGAUCAACGGAUGACCUCAUUUGACUAAUAAGUUUAUGAGUCAAACUGUUAUAUUAAGCCAAUCAUUGGACGAUCCUUUUUAAUUCUUUUGCUCUCCAAUUGUGUCCUUAAAUGUGUAUUUACACGAUCGAUGAAAAACGAGAGAACGAAAAUGGAAUUCGUAUUAUUACAUAUCAAGAAGAGACAAUAUUUUUUUUCUUGGUUAUCUCCAAGUUAUUGAUAAUUAUUACUUUUACGUAACCGUUUGGAAACUUUGGAAAAGAUAUCCUGUAAAUUUCAUUGUUGAUGAAGGAAUAUGUUUUGCAAGUUAUUGGCCAAUGAACACUUAUUUU